GACGAACGCUGGCGGCGUGCUUAACACAUGCAAGUCGAACGAUGAAGCACCAGCUUGCUGGUGUGGAUUAGUGGCGAACGGGUGAGUAACACGUGAGUAACCUGCCCCUCACUCUGGGAUAAGCCUGGGAAACUGGGUCUAAUACUGGAUACGACCGAUCUCCGCACGGAAUGUUGGAGGAAAGUUUUUGUGGUGGGGGAUGGACUCGCGGCCUAUCAGCUUGUUGGUGGGGUAAUGGCCUACCAAGGCGACGACGGGUAGCCGGCCUGAGAGGGCGACCGGCCACACUGGGACUGAGACACGGCCCAGACUCCUACGGGAGGCAGCAGUGGGGAAUAUUGCACAAUGGGCGAAAGCCUGAUGCAGCGACGCCGCGUGAGGGAUGACGGCCUUCGGGUUGUAAACCUCUUUCACCAGGGACGAAGCUAACGUGACGGUACCUGGAGAAGAAGCACCGGCUAACUACGUG
rnacentral:rRNA from 1 species